rnacentral:rRNA from 1 species
UACGGGGGGAGCAAGCGUUGUUCGGAUUUACUGGGCGUAAAGGGCGCGUAGGCGGUCGUGACAAGUCACUUGUGAAAUCUCCGGGCUUAACUCGGAACGGUCAAGUGAUACGUGUCGGACUAGAGUACAGAAGGGGCAACUGGAAUUCUCGGUGUAGCGGUGAAAUGCGUAGAUAUCGAGAGGAACACCUGCGGCGAAGGCGGGUUGCUGGGCUGAUACUGACGCCGAGGCGCGAAAGCAUGGGGAGCGAACAGG